GGUAGUAGCAACUAUUCAAACGAGAGCUUUGAAGGCCGAAGUGGAGCAGGGUUCCAUGUGAACAGCAGUUGAACAUGGGUCAGUCGGUCCUAAGCGAUAGGCGAGCGCCGUUCUGAAGGGACGGGCGAUGGCCUCCGUUGCCCUCGGCCGAUCGAAAGGGAGUCGGGUUCAGAUCCCCGAAUCCGGAGCGGCGGAGACGGGCGCCGCGAGGCGCCCAGUGCGGUAACGCAAGCGAUCCCGGAGAAGCCGGCGGGAGCCCCGGGGAGAGUUCUCUUUUCUUUGUGAAGGGCCGGGCGCCCUGGAACGGGUUCGCCCCGAGAGAGGGGGCCCGCGCCUUGGAAAGCGUCGCGGUUCCGGCGGCGUCCGGUGAGCUCUCGCUGGCCCGUGAAAAUCCGGGGGAGAGGGUGUAAAUCUCGCGCCGGGCCGUACCCAUAUCCGCAGCAGGUCUCCAAGGUGAACAGCCUCUGGCA
rnacentral:ncRNA from 1 species